AAGAAGUAAUGUAAAAAAAUAGCUGCUAACUAAUUUUUUGAGCGGUUAAAAUCCGUUUGCUUCUUA
rnacentral:tRNA from 1 species